GUGUUUGUUGUUUGCAUAUGUGCAAGAUUUCAAUCUUGUCCAAAAGAGUUUCAUCUCACUGUCGUUAAAUGUAUUUUUCAAUAUCUAACCGACAAUCCUAUUUUGGGUUUGGAUUUAUUUUAUCCUAGAGGUGUAUUAUUUGAUUUGAUUGGUUACUCGGAUGCCGACUUUGCCGGAUGCAAACUUGAUAGAAAAACUACUAGCACUUGUCACGUUUUGAUAACUUAUUAGUAACUUGGUUUAGGGAAAAGUAAAAUUCUGUUGCUCUAUCAACGGUCGAAGCUGAAUACAUAGCUUCCGGAAGUUGUUGUGCCCAAGUUCUAUGGAUAAAACAACAAUUAGAUGAUUUUGACUUACAUUAUGAUUAUAUCCCUAUUAAAUGUGAUAAUACUAGUACUAUCAACUUAAACAAAAAUUCGGUUCAACACUCUGAAACAAAACAUAUUGAAAUUUGACACCAAUUUUUAAAAGAUCAUGUUCAAAAAGGGGAUAUUGCUAUUAAAUUUGUAAACACUGACAAGCAAUUGACAGAUAUUUUCAUAAAAUCCCUAAGUAAGACAUGCUUUAAUUUUAUUCGUGGUGAAUUUGGAACGUCGAAUUCUACAUAUUGAUUUUGUUGAGAUUGCAAAAUUGAAGUUUUACUCAAAUUGAGGAAUGAAUACUAUUGCAUUAAUUUGGAAUCAUAAAUAUCAGUUGAAUGCUUUCAAAAUACUCAUACAUUUUUACUCAAGUAUUGUUUGUUGCAUUUUUAACACAUAAAAAUUUCCAGAUUUUUAUCUAUGUCCUUAAAACUCAUCCAGCUACCUAAUUUUCUUUCAAAACUUGUUUCCUACACUAGCAGAUUCAUUUCCUUCACUUACCAUACAUAUUGAGUUACAUAUACCUACCAUACUUGUUAUGCCCUUAAAUCCUCUGGCUGAAUUAUUGGGCCUGUCAUAUACAUUUAUACGUUGUGUACGUCACAUAAAUUAGCCCUAGCCACUUUUAAGCAAUCAGCACAGGAGCUCCGCAACACAGGAGAUUUUUUACCGAGCCAGUUGUCCGGGAGGACAACUUGGCGGUCGACCGGUGGCCACCUGGGCAGAUUUUAAAAGCCCCAAAACCGACUGCUUCUAUUCCUGUUCUUUUCUCUGCUUCGUCUAUGUAAACCCUAAUCUCCAUAUCGCUCAAACUCCAUCUGCCAAACCCUCUAAAAACUCAAUCUCUAUCAAUUUCUUGUGUAAACUAAGUAAAAUCAGAUCGUGGCUCCUAGAACCAAAAAGCCUAGAGCUAGAGAGGCCGGACAGUCAUCAAAUCCCGGGCUAGGUUCUCUUUUGUUGCUAGCCAAGGCCUUUGGUGAUGGAGAGAGAAGGUGGAUGGUCCAAUGCUGAGCUAGCACCCAAUUGUCCAAGGUGUGCCUGCUCAAAUUCAAAGUUCUGUGCAUGAGGCUUUGUGCGACCAGAUUGAAGAGGUGAAGGCAGCAAUGGGGAGAAUUGGAGAAACAGUUUGAUCUUGUUGUGCCAAACAUGAACAAGUGGGAGGUGCAUUCUAGAGGAUGAGGUGCAUUCUCUUUUACUGUGAUUGUCUAAAUGAUUUGUAGUUUGUUUCUUAUGUAGAGGAGUUGGGACACCAUUCUUAGGUUGUGUAUGUACUGGAUGUAGUCAUGUAAUGACAUGGCAGUAGUUACUCUCAAAUUUCUGUAUGGGAU